GAUGAAGAACGUAGCGAAAUGCGAUAAGUAAUGUGAAUUGCAGAAUUCAGUGAAUCAUCGAAUCUUUGAACGCACAUUGCGCCCGCCAGUAUUCUGGCGGGCAUGCCUGUUCGAGCGUCAUUACAACCCUCAGGCCCCCGGGCCUGGCGUUGGGGAUCGGCGGAGCCCCCCGUGGGCACACGCCGUCCCCCAAAUGCAGUGGCGGUCCCGCCGCAGCUUCCAUCGCGUAGUAGCUAACACCUCGCGACUGGAGAGCGGCGCGGCCACGCCGUAAAACACCCAACUCUUCUGAAGUUGACCUCGAAUCAGGUAGGAAUACCCGCUGAACUUAAGCAUAUCGAUAAGCGGAGGA
rnacentral:misc_RNA from 1 species